CGAGAAGACAAAUCGAUGGAGCUUGGUCUAUGGGAAAUCAGCAGUUUUCCUUUAUAUUUCCAGUAUCUGGAAAUUUGAGCUUGUCGUCUUGCGUUUCUGGUGGUGUUGAUCAGCUUUCGGCCAGUAAUCAAAAGAUCUUCCUUAAGGAUGCGUAUGGUGAACCCCAAGGCCAUCUUCAUCAUUGGCGGUGAAGAGUACUAGAAGCUGGCUGCCUUGGAUUAGAUUCAUCAGGGAGUUUCUAGGGGAUGCAACCAUGGAUAUCACCAUGAUUCGGCUUGACGCCCAGGAACAAGACGGCGAUGUACGGUCUACAGGCAAACUCGAGCGGCUGAGGAGAGAUUGAUCUUCCCGGCUCCCCACGAUAGAAAGUGGAUUGUCUUUGCUGCAAUCCUCUCCAUGCGCAGUAAUAUUGGAAACAAAAGUAGUGUGGUGUAACGUCUCCCUUGGUGGUCGUCUCCUGGAAGGGCAUUAUCAAGCUGCCACACUCGUCUUUUGUUUGUUUCGUUCGCUUGUUCGUUGGAUGAUGCAUUUAUGUUUUCCGAGAGUUGUUGUUUCCUUUAGCAAAACUUGUAAUGGACGCGUGGAUAAAUCUAAUCAUCAGCCAGUGAAUGUAUUGCCAGCCAUGCAAUCGAACCAAAUGUGUCUAGUUGAUCACAUAAUCAAUUUGUCUUUGU